UACGGAAGGCAGCAGUGGGGAAUAUUGCACAAUGGGCGAAAGCCUGAUGCAGCUAUGCCGCGUGUAUGAAGAAGGCCUUAGGGUUGUAAAGUACUUUCAUCGGGGAGGAAAAACAAAACUAAUAAUUUUAUUUCUUGACGUUACCCGAAAAAGAAGCACCGGCUAACUCCGUGCCAGCAGCCGCGGUAAUACGGAGGGUGCUAGCGUUAAUCAGAAUUACUGGGCGUAAAGAGCACGUAGGUGGUUUUUUUAAGUCAGAUGUGAAAUCCCUGGGCUUAACCUGGAACUGCAUUUUGAAACUGAAAUACUAGAGUAUCGUAGAGGGAGGUAGAAUUCUAGGUGUAGCGGUGAAAUGCGUAGAUAUCUGGAGGAAUACCUGUGGCGAAAGCGGCCUCCUAAACGAAUACUGACACUGAGGUGCGAAAGCGUGGGGAGCAAACGAGGAUUAGAUACC
rnacentral:rRNA from 1 species